rnacentral:lncRNA from 1 species
UUAGGUCAAGGAUGGCUAUAUAAGUAGGAUAAUUUCUUUUCUAAUGACCUAAUUUCUUACAGAAGAAGUAUUCUGUCUACUUCUUAUCAACUUCUGAUGGUUUGCUCUGCUUAGGAUCGGCAGUAUAAAAUUUUUAUAUCUUUUUCUUCUUUCUUCUCCUAGAAUAUCGAUAUCUUGCAAAUGAACCUCCUACUAAAUUCACUGGCUCC